rnacentral:rRNA from 1 species
AGUGAACGCUGGCGGUAGGCCUAACACAUGCGAGUCGAACGGCAGCACAGUAAGAGCUUGCUCUUACGGGUGGCGAGUGGCGGACGGGUGAGGAAUACAUCGGAAUCUACUUUUUCGAGGGGGAUAACGUAGGGAAACUUACGCUAAUACCGCAUACGACCUACGGGUGAAAGCAGGGGAUCUUCGGACCUUGCGCGAUUGAAUGAGCCGAUGUCGGAUUAGCUAGUUGGCGGGGUAAAGGCCCACCAAGGCGACGAUCCGUAGCUGGUCUGAGAGGAUGAUCAGCCACACUGGAACUGAGACACGGUCCAGACUCCUACGGGAGGCAGCAGUGGGGAAUAUUGGACAAUGGGCGCAAGCCUGAUCCAGCCAUACCGCGUGGGUGAAGAAGGCCUUCGGGUUGUAAAGCCCUUUUGUUGGGAAAGAAAAGCAGCAGGUUAAUACCCCGCUGUUCUGACGGUACCCAAAGAAUAAGCACCGGCUAACUUCGUG